GCACCCGUGGAGCAGAAGUUUAGCUCAUUCCCCUCCCAUGGUCUAUAUGGUUAGGGAAAGACCUGGGUGCAAAUCCCGGCGGGUGCA
rnacentral:tRNA from 1 species